GAUGAACGCUGGCGGCGUGCCUAAUACAUGCAAGUCGAGCGAAUGGAUUAAGAGCUUGCUCUUAUGAAGUUAGCGGCGGACGGGUGAGUAACACGUGGGUAACCUGCCCAUAAGACUGGGAUAACUCCGGGAAACCGGGGCUAAUACCGGAUAACAUUUUGAACCGCAUGGUUCGAAAUUGAAAGGCGGCUUCGGCUGUCACUUAUGGAUGGACCCGCGUCGCAUUUGCUAGUUGGUGAGGUAACGGCUCACCAAGGCAACGAUGCGUAGCCGACCUGAGAGGGUGAUCGGGCACACUGGGACUCAGACCCGGCCCAGACUCCUACGGGAGGCAGCAGUGGGGAAUAUUGCACAAUGGGCGCAAGCCUGAUGCAGCAACGCCGCGUGAGGGAUGACGGCCUUCGGGUCGUAAAACUCUGUUGUUAGGGAAGAACAAGUGCUAGUUGAAUAAGCUGGCACCUUGACGGUACCUAACCAGAAAGCCACGGCUAACUACGUGCCAGCAGCCGCAGUAA
rnacentral:rRNA from 1 species